rnacentral:rRNA from 1 species
UACGUAGGGUGCGAGCGUUGUCCGGAAUUACUGGGCGUAAAGAGCUCGUAGGUGGUUUGUCGCGUUGUUCGUGAAAACUCACAACUCAAUUGUGGGCGUGCGGGCGAUACGGGCAGACUGGAGUACUGCAGGGGAGACUGGAAUUCCUGGUGUAGCGGUGGAAUGCGCAGAUAUCAGGAGGAACACCUGUGGCGAAGGCGGCCAUCUGGACAACUACUGACACUGAGACGCGAAAGCGUGGGUAGCAAACAGG